ACGAACGCUGGCGGCAUGCCUCACACAUGCCAGUCGAACGAGACCUUCGGGUCUAGUGGCGCACGGGUGCGUAACGCGUGGGAACCUGCCCUUAGGUUCGGAAUAACUCCCCGAAAGGGGUGCUAAUACCGGAUAAUGUCUUCGGACCAAAGAUUUAUCGCCUUUGGAUGGGCCCGCGUUGGAUUAGCUAGUUGGUAGGGUAAAAGCCUACCAAGGCGACGAUCCAUAGCUGGUCUGAGAGGAUGAUCAGCCACACUGGGACUGAGACACGGCCCAGACUCCUGCGGGAGGGGGCAGUGGGGAAAAUGGGAAAAGGGGCGAAAGCCUGACCCAGCAAGGCCGGGGGAGUGAUGAAGGCCUUAGGGUUGAAAAGCUCUUUUACCCGGGAGGAUAAGGACAGUACCGGGAAAAAAAGCCCCGGCUAACCCCGG
rnacentral:rRNA from 1 species